rnacentral:lncRNA from 1 species
AAAAAAUAUUUAUAUGAUUGCUAAUACAAAAAUUUGUAUCAACAAAAUUUGUAUCAUCAAGCUAAUUGCGAGUUGAAAAAGAUGAAUAAAGACGCUAACCGAUUUUCUUACCAUGUGUGUGACAUAGAUAAAGGGUCUUAAUGUGACAGUCUAGAAUGAAAAAGGAUGAAACAAAGGAGAAGAUUUAGAUUUUAGUACAACGGCAUGAUCCAAAUUCGAUAUGUAUAAGAGGGAGAACUUUGUGUGUCGUUGAAAUACCCUUCUUGAUUGUAUAAGAAUCUAACUAAUUAAUCUUAGCCAAUCUGAAUUUCUAACCACGUAUGAGUACUUGU